CAGCGUAUGUGUAUGCGAGUGCUUGCAAGUCCGAGGCACGUAUGUGUGCGCACAUGAAGAGGACUGCAGAGGAAUACCCAACUUUCACACAUAUGUCAGGUUCUUAUCCCCCAGGGAGGGCUGGAGCCAGUAUCGGGCCGGCCGUUUCGCUGGGAGUGUCACUGACUAUCUGCUUCUCCAACGAACCUCACAGCCUGGAGACAGGAGAGAGGAGAUUUACUGUACUGGAGAGAGAGGCAAGGGGCCGAGGGAGAGUGUGUGAAUGAAGGAAAAGAUGAGGGAGGGAAGAGAAAGAAAGGAGACAAGAGGGCUGAAGGUAUCAUGUGAGUUUUGAGGGAAGGGGAGGGCAUGAUCCGAGGGCUCUGACCCUUUUAUUUAUCUAUGAAUACAUUGUGGUUUUCUGUGUAUAUUAGGUUUAAAGGGACACUUCAGCCAUUUGCAUUAAGCUUUGUAUCAUUAGAAACCCAGUCAUAUCUUUGAAUGGUCGUGCAUCAUUCUCUCACUUUCCCUGAGAGGGGAGAAAUAAGGAUUUUAGUGUUGCACUUCCUGCUUCCAAUGAUGUAGAAAUCGUCAUUUUGUGUCAUUGGAAGCAGGAAGUCUCAUAUCUCUGUAGAGGGGGUGAGACUACAAACACUACUUCCUCUUUUUUUUUUUUCACUCACGCUACAGACCUAUUACAGAUCAGUGGGUGGAACUUCACUUGCAGAAACUAAAAAAUAUAACCGCCAUCUUGUUUGGAAGCUAAGCGGAGGCGCUGUCGAGCCAGACGUUACGACUAUGGUAAUCAAUGUAAUAUGGAAGAAAUUUCGAAAGUAUGAUGGUCGAAUCAGAUGUUCGUGGCUACCUUUAUGAGCCGCAAUAUAGCGAAGAGCAGCUGAGGCUGAACAGGAGGCGGCUGAGGCUUCUGCAGCCGAGGCAGAGGACCUGCCUGUCGCAGACGAGGAGCCCGGACUGGCUCGAGCUGGGGGGCGGACGUCUGACUGUAAAACAAUAUCGCCUAACAGCCUUUCUGGAAUGGGUCCUGCAAGGCGAGAGAUUGGAUCGAGGCCAUCCUGUCGUUUUACCCGCUUAUGUGGUGCAGGUUAUCCGACAGAAAUAUCCAGCUCCAGAUGGCCAGUACUGCGGGCACCAAGAAGUUGAGGACGCUCAGGAGGAACUAUAACUGUCAUUGUUAACAUAUUUAUUUUUGUUGUUGUUGAUAUAUUUCUGUAAAUAAAUGGUUUACAUUCA